UUUUUACAGUAGUGUGCUAUAAGACAAUCGUUAAUUGAAGUAGAGAGAUACUGACUAGUAAGAAUUUGAUGGAACAUGAAUUCUUAAAUAAUAUAUAUAUA
rnacentral:sRNA from 1 species